CCCCCCUUGUUUGUUUGUUCAUGUUACAGGUUUCACUGGUCAGGUUGCAGGUUUCACUGGUCAGGUUGCAGGUUUCACUGGUCAGGUUGCAGGUUUCACUGGUCAGGUUGCAGGUUUCACUGGUCAGGUUGCAGGUUUCACUGGUCAGGUUGCAGGUUUCACUGGUCAGGUUGCAGGUUUCACUGGUCAGGUUGCAGGUUUCACUGGUCAGGUUGCAGGUUUCACUGGUCAGGUUGCAGGUUUCACUGGUCAGGUUGCAGGUUUCACUGGUCAGGUUGCAGGUUUCACUGGUCAGGUUGCAGGUUUCACUGGUCAGGUUGCAGGUUUCACUGGUCAGGUUGCAGGUUUCACUGGUCAGGUUGCAGGUUUCACUGGUCAGGUUGCAGGUUUCACUGGUCAGGUUGCAGGUUUCACUGGUCAGGUUGCAGGUUUCACUGGUCAGGUUGCAGGAGCUGAAGGCUGAGACCAAGAGGUUAGCUAGAUAUAUGGUUAUAGUGUGAGUUGGUUGAGAAAAAGCAUUCUGUUGACUAACACCAGUCCAUACAAAUUUGCGCAACCGCGGCCUUCAAACGAGGCUGCAAUGAAAACUAAUGGGACUGUAGUGACUGUGUUGUCAUUCAAGCAUUGAUUGACAUUGUAAUGGCACGAUAGUAUUGGAGAAAAGUAAGGGAAAAACGGACCUCUCUGACACUGUACGUUAAAUUGUGAUGUCGUACAGCCUCUCCACCAGGUGAAGCUCUUCUCUCAUGGAUUAAAAACAGGAAAGGGAUGGGGUAAGGACAGAUACCUAGUCAAUUAACUGAAUAUUAUUUUCUUGCGUCAUCACUGCAAGCCAUCAUGACUCUCAAAAGCCAUGACAGCCGCUGUUUACUUCUGAAGAUAACUUUAGCGCCGCCCUAAAAACUAAAGACUCAAAUUCGACACAAGCCUUCAAAUAGGUAUUUAAUGACACAUAUAAACUCUUUUAUAGUGUUUUAUUUACAUUUUUGAGGUGAUUAAAUUGGACAGUGAUAAAAGCAGUUUCCACACCCGACAUUAUUUAAAAAAAUAAAAAUAA